UCCCAGAGGGGGAACUGCUUGUGGCAGGAUCACAGGGGGCUGGAAGGAGCAGCAACCAUCAGAUGUAGUAGAAAGAAUGGAGUCCAGCCAGCUGUGUGCCAUGCCUGUGGGACUGUGCUUUUGUUCUGCAGAUGUGGCUAGCAGAUAUUACAAGGCCUGCAGCAGGAUAUAAAAAAUGAGGAGAGCAUGGCAUUGGAGGGACAAGGCUGGCCUAAUGUGUUUUGGGUGAGUGAGACCACCAGGCAGCUUUGGGUUACCAGGAGAUGAAAGUCUGCUACCAAAACCAAACACAAACCAGGACAAUGCUGGCAGAAAAAAUAAGUGUUUCUGUAAGAAGAAAUCAGCCAUGGGAUGGCUUUUAUAUUAUCACAAGCUUUGAGACACAGAGUGUUCCAAUAAAGUCGUUACAAUUCUUAUAUCAAGGGCCAGAAGUUUAAGAGGAAGAUAAGAAGUGAAUCCUGGACAUUAUUAUGUGUUCUCCAGACAUGAUGGCCUCCUCUUUGGGACUCUGGCAUUCCUGUGGAAGCAGACAGGCUUCAUAAACCUCAUCUCUCUUUCUCUCCUCUGGAGGUUCUACAAUCUUGAGUAUUUAAAGAUACAAAUGUAAAUGUAUAUAAAUACGACUUUCUACAUAGCAAGAUGACUCUCCUUUCUCCUCCUUCUCACACACAUGAGAGAUGAAGAGUUUUCUUUGCAUCUCAGUCUCUCCCCUACAUUUCUCCUGGAGUCACCAGCACUCUCAAGGCCUCAGAAAGUAAAAGUCACGCAGUUUUUGAGAAAAGCAGCCCUAAGAAUUGGCAGGCUUAAUGGAGCAUAUGUGCAGCUCUUUCCCUUUUCCCCAGCGCAGCACCUCCAGCAUGUGCACACCACAAGUUUCCAGCUGGGUUCUAUGUCAUGAGUGCCUUCUGUUGCUUUCAGUAUCUGUUUUCAAGUCUUCUACAGUGUUUCAGCAUUUUGUUGAAAUAAUUACUGCAGAAAGGGAAAGAGAAGACUAUAGCAACCUAGUGAUGAUGAGAUAUGCCUACAGACUGUCUCAGCACAUGCCGUGAAGAAGCACUGUUUAUCUAGAAGGAGAUGCUCUCGACACUUAAGCCUCCACUUUCCUUGCUGAAGUGUCUCCCACACCUAGGCUGAGAUCAUGAACACUCGAGUGCUGCCAACCUACUCCAAAGUACAAAAGCAACUCUGGUUCCUAGCAAGGCAGCAAAAAAGACAAGUUUCAUGUUAGAAGAGCUCCCACAGAUGAUAGCCCAGUCAUGCUGCUGGAAAAUCUUUCACUCUGUAGAACUUGUUGUAUGUCUUUCCUUCAUCACUGGAACAAAUACCCCACAAGUCUCGACUGCCAACAAGAUUUAAAAGUCUUUAUCCCUGAUGGGCUCAUAUUUUCCCAGUUUCACUGUUGCAUGUAAGAUGCUGCUCAGUCUCACAAGAUACUCCUGAGAUGGAUUGUUCCCUCCUUUUCAAACCUCUUUAUUAUAUUCUGGCUGCAAAGUUGUCUCUAAAGAGAAACAUUUAAAUGGAAUGUUACGGUGAUGUUUGCCUGAAGUACAGUAGACAUAAAUCUCAUCUAGUGGAAGCUGUCCGUGCCCAUGGCAGAGCAGGUUUUGAACUAGAAGAGCUUUAAGGACCCUUCCAACCUAGAACUUCAGAAAAAUACAUCAUUAUCUGGAAACUCCUUGGUCAAGUUUGCAAAGGGAUGCUGGUGUUCCCUGCACUAUUUGGCCUAAACUUGAACAUUUUAUUUCUAACAAGGCUUUUCUGAAGCUAGUGCUCCAAUUUCUUGAAGACUUGCCAUCCAUUGUUCUGAUCUUUUGCUGGCCUGCCAGCACACAAAGCAAAUAUGGUGUCACUGGUGUCUUAGGACUGGAAUUUUUUAAGGCAUGGAUGGGACUAAGGUGCCUGAUCCCAUUAAUUUUGAUGGGAUCUGAGCAUCUAAUUCCUUCAAAGUCUUAUGAAAAUCCCUAUUCAGAUUCCUGAGCAUGGAUCAUCAAUAUGGAGAAGA